rnacentral:rRNA from 1 species
CCGACGGUGAGGGACGAAAGCUGGGGGAGCAAACCGGAUUAGAUACCCGGGUAGUCCCAGCCGUAAACGAUGUGCGUUAGGUGUAUCGGUGACCACGAGUCACCGAGGUGCCGAAGAGAAAUCGUGAAACGUACCGCCUGGGAAGUACGGUCGCAAGGCUGAAACUUAAAGGAAUUGGCGGGGGAGCACCACAACAGGUGGAGCCUGCGGUUUAAUCGGACUCAACGCCGGGAAACUCACCAGAUAAGACAGCUGAAUGAUAGUCGGGCUGAAGACUCUACUUGACUAGCUGAGAGGAGGUGCAUGGCCGUCGUCAGUUCGUACUGUGAAGCAUCCUGUUAAGUCAGGCAACGAGCGAGACCCACGCCAACAGUUGCU